GAUGCGGAGGGGACCGGCCGGCUGCGAGCCCGGCCUGGCCGUCCGGGCCCUGCAGCGAGAGGCGGCCUGCUCUGGAGCGGCAUUCCACCGCCAGGCCUCACGCCAAGCCCCGCAGCCUUAUCUGAAGUUCUCCCUAUGGUGCUUCGGGCAGCGCCCUCUAGUGGGCCACGUGAAGAAUACCAUCUCAUCAGGCCUAACUAGUCACAGUAGUGAUAUUUGUCAGAAGAUGGAGAAAAAGAGUGGUGAUGAAGAAGACCCAAGAUCCUUCCUCCUCUCCAUCUCUUCUGAGCUCUGCCUGACUUAGGACCACAGGAAAGCUCAGCUCUCAAACACAGCCAGAGUGGAAUCCUGGAGAUCCAAAACUGCUUUCAAAAUGUCUUCAACAGUCUUUGUGUGUGAAUACUUCGACUGUACAGAACAUGGCCUUUUAUUUAAAGCAGUGUUUCUCAGCUUUGGCCACUUUAAGAUGUGUGGACUUCAACU